AACGAACGCUGGCGGCAGGCCUAACACAUGCAAGUCGAGCGCGCCUUCGGGCGAGCGGCGGACGGGUUAGUAACGCGUGGGAAUAUGCCCAGAUCUAAGGAAUAGCCACUGGAAACGGUGAGUAAUACCUUAUACGCCCUUCGGGGGAAAGAUUUAUCGGAUUUGGAUUAGCCCGCGUUAGAUUAGGUAGUUGGUGGGGUAAUGGCCUACCAAGCCUACGAUCUAUAGGCUGGUUUUAGAGGAUGAUCAGCAACACUGGGACUGAGACACGGCCCAGACUCCUACGGGAGGCAGCAGUGGGGAAGUCUUGGACAAUGGGGGCAACCCUGAUCCAGCCAUGCCGCGUGAGUGAUGAAGCCUUAGGGUCG
rnacentral:rRNA from 1 species